ensembl:lncRNA
AAGAAACAGAGGAGACAUAUGGAGAGAGUGAGCACAGAAGGAAAAGAGAGAGGAGACAGUUGGAGGAGCUACAGUAUCAGAACAGAGAGAAGACAGACGGAGGAGCUACAGUAUCAGAACAGAGAGAAGACAGACGGAGGAGCUACAGUAUCAGAACAGAGAGAAGACAGACGGAGGAGCUACAGUAUCACAACAGAGAGGAGACAGGUGGAGGAGCUACAGUAUCAGAACAGAGAGGAGACAGGUGGAGGAGCUACAGUAUCAGAACAGAGAAGAGACAGGUGGAGGAGCUACAGUAUCAGAACAGAGAAGAGACAGGUGGAGGAGCUACAGUAUCAGAACAGAGAGAACAGAGGGAGAUGGAGAGAGAAGACAGAACAUACUGCAUGAGACUGUCAGACAACAGAG